UAAUGACUUGAUUUUUAUGCUUCUCCUGAAUAAGCUAUAGCUAAUGCACUUUUAAAGCAGACCAAAUUUAUACCUUAUUAUUGCUGUUGCUGCUCUAAUAGAUGAGUUUAUUUAGGUAUGGUGAACCGGUGAAGUAUGAAAGGGAAAUUAUCCUGAAAAACAUAAAAUGAUUUUCCAUUUUGUGAAGCUUCACAGUCUAUUGGAAGCGUUACAUCUUUUACUUUUAAACAAGUGGCUUCUUGUACUUGCUGAAGCUUCACUCUCCAUUAUUAUAGAAAUUGCAGAGAGCAAUAUUGACAAGCUCAUGUGACUUUGAUUUCCAAGAAAUCAGACAGCUGCAUUUGUUAUUCUAGCUACUAGAUGAUUUUAGAUUAAACUCAUUUGGUUUUUUGGCAAUUGAAUUGGGAUUUCGGGUUGAGAUUAUGUAUCCGAUUUCACAGGUUGGUACUCAUGAUAAGUUGG
rnacentral:misc_RNA from 1 species